rnacentral:rRNA from 1 species
GUCGUAAGCACACCUCUAAAAGUACGAGUAUGCAACUAUGUCAAACUCAUAUACGUCAGGUCAAAGUGCAGCUAAUGAAAGGGGCGACGAUGGGUUACACCCUAAAUAAAGAUACGAAAUAUGGCACCAAAAGCCACAUGAAGGUGGACUUGGACGUAACAAAAAUACAAAAUUAAAAUGAAAACGAAUCUGAGACAUGCACACAUCGCCCGUCACUCUUGCCCAAAGGUGAGAUAAGUCGUAACAAAGUAGGUGUAACGGAAGUUGCACCUGU